rnacentral:rRNA from 1 species
AGAGUUUGAUCCUGGCUCAGGACGAACGCUGGCGGCGUGCUUAACACAUGCAAGUCGAACGGAAAGGCCCUGCUUUUGUGGGAUGCUCGAGUGGCGAACGGGCGAGUAACACGUGAGUAACCUGCCCUUGACUUUGGGAUAACUUCAGGAAACUGGGGCUAAUACCGGAUAGGAGCUCCUGGUGGAUGGUGGGGGUUGGAAAGUUUCGGCGGGUGGGGAUGGACUCACGAUUAAUAAGCUUGCUGGGGGGGUAGAGCCUUACCUGGGCCUUGACCGGGGGCCGGCCUGAAAGGGCGACCGGCCAGAUUGGGACUGAAAAACGGGCCAAACUCGUACCAGAGGGCCGNGUGGGGAAUAAUGGCCAAUGGGCGGAAGCCCGAUGCACCAACACCCAUGGAGGAUAAACUGCUUCAGGUUGCAAAUAACUUUCGCUG